rnacentral:rRNA from 1 species
CUCUUUUUGAAUUUAAUUUAAAGUUUGGCCUGCCCACUGAAAUUUGAAGGGCCGCAGUAUUUUGACUGUGCAAAGGUAGCAUAAUCAUUAGUUUUUUAAUUGAAAGCUUGUAUGAAGGGUUUGAUGAGAAAAUUACUGUUUCAAAUUUAAUAUUAGAAUUUUAUUUUUAAGUUAAAAAGCUUAAAUAAAAUUUAAAGACGAGAAGACCCUAUAGAGUUUAACUAAAAAUUAUUUUAUUUAAUUUAGAAUUUUGUUUUAAUAAUUUAAUUUAAGUUUUGUUGGGGUGACGGAAAAAUUAAAUAAACUUUUUUUUAAUUUUAACAAUGAUAAUUGAUUUUUUGAUCUAUAAAAAUGAUUAGAAGAACAAAUUACCUUAGGGAUAACAGCGUAAUCUUU